GGGCUUUAGUUAGACCUCUUCCUCGUACCAAUGGACUCAUAAUCCAUUGGUCGAAGGUUCGAGUCCUUCCGGGCCCACCA
rnacentral:tRNA from 1 species